UCGGAGAGUUUGAUCCUGGCUCAGGAUGAACGCUGGCGGCGUGCCUAAUACAUGCAAGUCGAGCGAACUGAUUAGAAGCUUGCUUCUAUGACGUUAGCGGCGGACGGGUGAGUAACACGUGGGCAACCUGCCUGUAAGACUGGGAUAACUCCGGGAAACCGGAGCUAAUACCGGAUAAUAUUUUUUCUUGCAUAAGAGAAAAUUGAAAGAUGGUUUCGGCUAUCACUUACAGAUGGGCCCGCGGUGCAUUAGCUAGUUGGUGAGGUAACGGCUCACCAAGGCGACGAUGCAUAGCCGACCUGAGAGGGUGAUCGGCCACACUGGGACUGAGACACGGCCCAGACUCCUACGGGAGGCAGCAGUAGGGAAUCUUCCGCAAUGGACGAAAGUCUGACGGAGCAACGCCGCGUGAGUGAUGAAGGCUUUCGGGUCGUAAAACUCUGUUGUUAGGGAAGAACAAGUACAAGAGUAACUGCUUGUACCUUGACGGUACCUAACCAGAAAGCCACGGCUAACUACGUGCCAGCAGCC
rnacentral:rRNA from 2 species